rfam:Collinsella stercoris DSM 13279 Scfld1 genomic scaffold, whole genome shotgun sequence.
GGGGCCGACUGGUUUCGACACGAUAGUUCUGAGAGAGGAAGCAGGCCGUGGUCUCCUCGCCCACGUUAAACAGGGGUACCGUCAAAAUGAAUUGACAAGAAUUCUUCUUUUGAGCCCCAGCUGGCUCUCGCUGCUUAAUUUAUAGCGGCGCGUCAACCCGGUGAUUUCCCCGACACCGGCGCGACGUCAUUUGAGGGGAAUGCUCCCGCGCACGUGAUCGGUAUGGCGCGGGCUAAGACCGAACCGGUUGGGACGCCGAGAGCGUGUCGCUCCGCGCGAGGCGUCCGAGACUAAAUGAGUGACUGAGCCUGGAGAUGCCGAUCAGGGAGCUGUCGUGGACCGGAGUUCGAUUCUCCGCGGCUCCACCA